rnacentral:snoRNA from 1 species
ACCGCACCUGAAUCUUUCCCGUGCCUUGCUGGGCAGUGUGGGUUUGGGGACAGAUGGUGCUACACUAGCUGCAGAGGAAAUCCAGGCAGGUUACUUUCCAUUUACAUUGCAACUUGCCUCUACAACUCUGCCACAUUU